rnacentral:lncRNA from 1 species
UGAAAACCUACAGGACAGUAGAUCUCCAGGAAGAGGGUUGGGCAGCCCUGGCCUAGAGUAUGCAGGGUUUUUGUUUUUUCCUUUCAGUUAAGACCUAUACAACCAUUUGUGGGGAGUUCCUUACUAAUCAGUGACCUUAAUUCAUCAAUCAAGUCCAAGGGUGGAACGAAAACCCGCAGUCACUCACUCUGCCCUCUGUGCUCUGGGGUGAAACUCACAAUAACGCACAGAUGGUUACGGAAACUAUACUCUGUCAACUGGGCGUUGGGGUCACCACGGGGCAGAACAGCUUCAAAGCACCUUGGCAUAGAUUCUACUAGUGUCCGGAACUCUACUGGAGGGAUGCGACACCAUUCUUCCACAAGAGAUUCCAUCAUUUGGUGUUUUGUUGAUGGCGGUGGAAAGAGCUGCGCUCCAGAAUCUCCCAUAAUUGUUCAAUUGGGUUGAGAUCUGGUGACUGAUAUGGCCAUGAUAUAUGGUUUACAUCGUUUUCAUGCUCAUCAAACCAUUCAGUGACCAGUCGUGCCCUGUGGAUGUGGGCAUGGUCAUCCUAUGGGGGCAUAGCCAUGGUAGACAAAAUAAUUGCCUGACCAGCAUUGUUAUGACCCUAGGCAUGAUGGGAUGUUAAUUGCUUAAUUAAGAUGGGUUUUGUCUGUUGACGUGUAACUUUUUGUAUGCAGUUUUUCCGCAAUGGAUUUCUUUUUCUCGUUCAAUGUCCUGUCCAGCUGGUGGCUGCAGCGCACCAUUAACAUUGGAUGCCAACCGCUUUUAAACCCCAUCAUAGAAGAAGAAAAAUAUUUCAGUGAUGACAUCACAGCUAUCAAUCCUUUACCAAGUGCAGCUUGCCACCUGCUGUGAACACAAAUCUCAGUUUUUGGACAUUAUUCCGUUCUAAUUAAUUUAUUCAUCACUGUGUGUAAAUACCAGAACUGUAAAUAUGGUAUUUGUUUUAUCCAUAUUUCACUGACAGUUGUCAAUACUUUAAGAAUAUUUGCAUAAUUAUUAAAGCAUUAUGUAUCUAUUUUUUGAUGCUAGCUAUCUAACAUUAAUAGCUACAUUUUUGCCUGUCAUUGUUUAACUGGCUAGUCUGAUGUUGCUAUCUACUUGUAUUUUGGUUUCAGUCAUUGGAUUAUUAUAACAGAUGAGGAGCUGUAUAUCUUGUUUUGUAAUUGUUAAAUGAAUAUGUGCCUUGUCUUAGUCUACAUGUCAUUUUUAUCAUGUUUAUUAUUUCCACACCACAUCUUGUAUGGAUAAAUGGAAAGUUAAUUGUUUAAUCACAGCUGAGUGCAGGGCUGGUCCUGGCCUUUCUGCCACAAUUGUCGUCCCAGUAAGCAAAAUGAC